CUGUGAAGGUGUACUGUGAGGUAUGCUGGAGGUAUCAGAAGUGCGAAUGCUGACAUAAGUAACGAUAAAGCGGGUGAAAAGCCCGCUCGCCGGAAGACCAAGGGUUCCUGUCCAACGUUAAUCGGGGCAGGGUGAGUCGACCCCUAAGGCGAGGCCGAAAGGCGUAGUCGAUGGGAAACAGGUUAAUAUUCCUGUACUUGGUGUUACUGCGAAGGGGGGACGGAGAAGGCUAUGUUGGCCGGGCGACGGUUGUCCCGGUUUAAGCGUGUAGGCUGGUUUUCCAGGCAAAUCCGGAAAAUCAAGGCUGAGGCGUGAUGACGAGGCACUACGGUGCUGAAGCAACAAAUGCCCUGCUUCCAGGAAAAGCCUCUAAGCAUCAGGUAACAUCAAAUCGUACCCCAAACCGACACAGGUGGUCAGGUAGAGAAUACCAAGGCGCUUGAGAGAACUCGGGUGAAGGAACUAGGCAAAAUGGUGCCGUAACUUCGGGAGAAGGCACGCUGAUAUGUAGGUGAAGUCCCUCGCGGAUGGAGCUGAAAUCAGUCGAAGAUACCAGCUGGCUGCAACUGUUUAUUAAAAACACAGCACUGUGCAAACACGAAAGUGGACGUAUACGGUGUGACGCCUGCCCGGUGCCGGAAGGUUAAUUGAUGGGGUCAGCGCAAGCGAAGCUCUUGAUCGAAGCCCCGGUAAACGGCGGCCGUAACUAUAACGGUCCUAAGGUAGCGAAAUUCCUUGUCGGGUAAGUUCCGACCUGCACGAAUGGCGUAAUGAUGGCCAGGCUGUCUCCACCCGAGACUCAGUGAAAUUGAACUCGCUGUGAAGAUGCAGUGUACCCGCGGCAAGACGGAAAGACCCCGUGAACCUUUACUAUAGCUUGACACUGAACAUUGAGCCUUGAUGUGUAGGAUAGGUGGGAGGCUUUGAAGUGUGGACGCCAGUCUGCAUGGAGCCGACCUUGAAAUACCACCCUUUAAUGUUUGAUGUUCUAACGUGGACCCGUGAUCCGGGUUGCGGACAGUGUCUGGUGGGUAGUUUGACUGGGGCGGUCUCCUCCUAAAGAGUAACGGAGGAGCACGAAGGUUGGCUAAUCCUGGUCGGACAUCAGGAGGUUAGUGCAAUGGCAUAAGCCAGCUUGACUGCGAGCGUGACGGCGCGAGCAGGUGCGAAAGCAGGUCAUAGUGAUCCGGUGGUUCUGAAUGGAAGGGCCAUCGCUCAACGGAUAAAAGGUACUCCGGGGAUAACAGGCUGAUACCGCCCAAGAGUUCAUAUCGACGGCGGUGUUUGGCACCUCGAUGUCGGCUCAUCACAUCCUGGGGCUGAAGUAGGUCCCAAGGGUAUGGCUGUUCGCCAUUUAAAGUGGUACGCGAGCUGGGUUUAGAACGUCGUGAGACAGUUCGGUCCCUAUCUGCCGUGGGCGCUGGAGAACUGAGGGGGGCUGCUCCUAGUACGAGAGGACCGGAGUGGACGCAUCACUGGUGUUCGGGUUGUCAUGCCAAUGGCACUGCCCGGUAGCUAAAUGCGGAAGAGAUAAGUGCUGAAAGCAUCUAAGCACGAAACUUGCCCCGAGAUGAGUUCUCCCUGACCCUUUAAGGGUCCUGAAGGAACGUUGAAGACGACGACGUUGAUAGGCCGGGUGUGUAAGCGCAGCGAUGCGUUGAGCUAACCGGUACUAAUGAACCGUGAGGCUUAACCUUACAACGCCGAAGGUGUUU
rnacentral:rRNA from 1 species